rnacentral:rRNA from 1 species
AGUCAUAUGCUUGUCUCAAAGAUUAAGCCAUGCAUGUCUCAGUACAAGCCAAAUUAAGGUGAAACCGCGAAAGGCUCAUUAAAUCAGUUAUGGUUCCUUAGAUCGUACCCACAAUUACUUGGAUAACUGUGGUAAUUCUAGAGCUAAUACAUGCAAAUAGAGCUUCGACCGGAGACGGAAGAAGUGCUUUUAUUAGAUCAAAACCAAUCGGCGACGGGUAAAACCGUUGUCGUAAUAUUUGGUGACUCUGAAUAACUUUAUGCUGAUCGCACGGUCUAGAACCGGCGACGCAUCUUUCAAAUGUCUGCCUUAUCAACUGUCGAUGGUAGGUUCUGCGCCUACCAUGGUUGUAACGGGUAACGGGGAAUCAGGGUUCGAUUCCGGAGAGGGAGCCUGAGAAACGGCUACCACAUCCAAGGAAGGCAGCAGGCGCGCAAAUUACCCACUCCCGGCACGGGGAGGUAGUGACGAAAAAUAACGAUACGGGACUCAUCCGAGGCCCCGUAAUCGGAAUGAGUACACUUUAAAUCCUUUAACAAGGAUCAAUUGGAGGGCAAGUCUGGUGCCAGCAGCCGCGGUAAUUCCAGCUCCAAUAGCGUAU